AGCAACAGGGUCUUGCUCUGUCACCCAAGUGAGAGUCCAGUGGUGUGAUCAUUGCUUACUGUAGCCUCCACCUCUUGGGCUCAAGUGAUCCUCCCACCUCAGCCUCCUAAGUAGCUGGGAUUACAGGUGCACAUCACCGUGCCUGACUAAUUAAAAAAAAAUUUUUUUUUAAAUCUGUGGAGACAAGGUCUCACUAUGUCGUCGAGGCUGGUCUCAAACUCCUGGACCCAAACAAUCCUCCCCUGUUAGCCCUCCCAAAGUGCUGGUAUUACACGUGUGAGCUACCAUGCCUGGCCCAUCUCAAAAGUUUUGAUGUGAGAUAUUUCAUAAUUGUUUGGUUCUACAUACUUAUGAUUUCCACUGAGAUUUCCUCUUUUACCAUAAAUUACUGAGAUGUAUAUUUUUAAGCUUACAAACAUGUGGGCUAUUUUUUAUUGCUCAUUUAUAACUUAAUGGCAGUGUAGUCAGAGUCAUCUGAAUGAUACCAAUUUUUGUGAUUUGUUAAGUUUUCCACUGUAACACAAUUAAUCUUUAUAAAUGGCUUAUAAUACACUUGCAAAUAACUUUCUCUAUUUGUUAGGUACAAUGAUGAAUUUUUAUAUUCAUUAGAUUGUUAAUUGUGUUAUUCAGUUAUCUUCUGUUCUUAUUAAAUUUUGACCUACAUUAUCUAUCAAUUUUUCUGAUAUGUUAAGAUCUCUCAUUAUGUUGAUUUGUCAGUUUCUGCUUUAAAUUCUGUUUUUGCUUUAUGUAAUUUGUUACUUGUUUUGCUUUAAUAUUUUUAAUGUAUGUAAUGAAUUAUGUAAUUUUGAGGCUGUGUUAUUAGUUGCAUACAAGUUUAUGAUUAUUAAUAAUUAUUAUAUCCUCUAGGUGAAUUUUUUUCCUUUAUUAUUACAAAGUAUGCCUCUUCAUCCCUAUUAACACCUUUGGCUUUACAUAUUAACUGAUGCAACAUUCUGUGAGCUUUAUUUUGGUUAAUAUUUGCAUGUGACAUAUAUUUAUGUUUUAUUAUUUUCAGUCUUUCUUGUGGGUUUCAGGUGUGUCUGUUUUUUUUUUUUUUUUUUGAGAUGGAAUCUUGCUCUGUUGCCCAGGUUGGAGUGCAGUGGCAUGAUCUUGGCUCACUGCAACCUCCUUCCCCUGUGUUCAAGCGAUUCUCCUGCCUCAGCCUCCCUAGUAGCUGGGAUUACAGGUGUGUGCCACCACAUCUGGCUAGUUUUUGUAUUUUUAGUAGAGACGGGGUUUCACCAUGUUGGCCAGGCUGGCCUUGAACUCCUGACCUCAAGUGAUCUGCCUGUCUUGGCCUCCCAAAAUGCUGGGAUUACAGGUGUGAGCCACCAUGCCCGGCCAGGUGUGUCUAUUUUAAGCAUCAUAUAGCUAGAUUAAAAAUGCAAAUGCAGUAUAAUAAUUUCAGUCUUUAAAUAGGUAGAUUUAAUCCAUUUAGAUUUCUUUGUGAUUAGUAAUAUAUAUGAGUUUAUUUCUUCAGUUCUGCUGCCUUAUUUAGGUAUUUUUACUUAUAAUGCUUUUGUUUUCUCUUUCUUCCUCCUCUGCCUUUUGUUGGAUUGAUAGUUUUUCAUAUUUCUCCCCUCUUCCCCACCUCACUUCUGGCUUGAAAGCUAUAGAUUGAUAGUUACCUUUAAAGUAUUCUAUCUAUUUUCCAUCAAACUCUAUAGUUAUUCAAUAAUUCUAGCUUCUUUCCAAUAGUAACAGUCAUUUCUCACGUUACCUACUCACAGAUCACUCCCUUUAACUAUCUUAUAAUUGCUAUUUAUAGUUUUAUUUUUCUUCAAUUUUAAAAUAUCAAAGUUAGUUAUUUUAUAGUUCAGCAGUUAAUUACUUAUAUUAAUAUACUAUGUAUGUAUGUGUGUAUGUAUAUAUAUCUGCCAAUAGUUGCUCUUUACCUUUGAGUUACUUUUUUUCUUGCUGAAAUGUAUCCUUUAGUAAUUUUUUGUUUUGUUUGUUUUGUAAUGAGAAUCUGAGUAUGUUUUUGUAUUCCAGAUAAUGUCUUUAUUUUGUCCUCACUCUCAAAAGAUAGUUUAGCUGGAUAUGAAAUUCUAGGUUGAUAGUUAAUUUUCUCUCUGCAUACUUUUUGUACAUCUGUACUUCCUGUUGAGAAGUCCGCUGUGAGCCUAACUAUUGUUCCUUUAGAAGCUAUCUUUCUUUCCCUCUGUGUAUUAGUUAGGUUUUGCCCGAGAAACAGAAUCAAUAAAAUAAUGUGUGUGUGUGUGUAUGUAUACAUACAUACAUUUAUAUAUAUAGUUAUACAUACACAUACACACAUAUAUAUGUAUAAAGAUAUUUAUUGUAAAGAAUUAGCUCAUGCAACACAGAGGCUUGGCAAGUCUAAAAUUUGAUAGAGGAGACUGGACAAUCAGGGAAGAGUUGCAGUUCAAAUCCAAAUGCAGUCUGGUGGUAAACAAGGAAUAGCCAAUGUUGCAAAUGAAGUCUGAAGGCAAUCUGCUGACAGAAUUCUCUCUUGCUUGGGGAAGGUCAGCCCUUUGUUCUGUUCAGGUCUUCAGCAGAUUGGAUGAACCCCACCCAUAUUAUGGAGAGCAAUUUGCUUUACUCAAAGUUGAUUUAAAUGUAAAUCUCAUCUAAAAACACCCUCACAGAAAAAUCUAGAAUAAUUUCCAAAUGUCUAGGUAUCCUGGCCCAGCGAAGUUGACACAUAAAAGUAGCCAUAGCACUCUGGAAGCUAUUAAGAUUGUCUUUUUAUUCUUUUUAUUCUGCAAUUUCAUUGUGAUAUGUCUAGUUGUGGAUUUAUUUUCAUAUAUUCUUGCUUAGUGCUGAAAAUGUAAUAUACAUCUUCAGUUCUUAAAGAUUUUCAGCAUUUGUAUUUCUGAAUAGUGCUUCCCCACCAGUCCCUACAUUCUCUUGUUCUGGUAUCCCUGCUUGGUGAAUGUUGGAACCUUAUAAUUCUCUGUCUGUGUCUCUUAAUUGCUCUUCCAUAUUUUAGUUUUGUUUUCUCUCCAUGCUAUGUUCUGGAUGAGUUCCUCAGAACUCUCUGCAAUUUACUAAUUCUCUCUUUGUGUCUAAUCCAGAAUUUAUUUCACCUAGUAAGUUUUCAAAAAAAUUCUUGGAUUUCUAUUUUAUUUCAUAUCCACCUCUUCUUGUUUUGCAUUUGCUUAUUUUUGAUACAUAAUUUCUUGAAUUUUUUGUUUGUUUUUUUCUUUGAGAUGGAGUUUUGCUCUUGGCUGCCCAGCCUGCCCGGUUGCCCAGGCCGGAGUCCAAUGGUGUGAUCUCAGUUUACCACAACCUCCGCCUCCUGGGUUCAAGCAAUUUUCCUGCCUCAGCCUCCCGAGUAGCUGGGAUCACAGGCAUGCGCCACCACACCUGGAUAAUUUUGUAUUUUUAGUAGAGAUGGGGUUUCUCCAUAUUGGUCAGGCUGGUCUCGAACUCCCAACCUCAGGUGAUCUGCCCACCUCAGCAUCUCAAAGUACUGGGAUUACAGGCGUGAGUCACCAUGCCCAGCCUCUUGAAUUGUUUUCAAUGAAGUUAUACAUUCAUUUACCUCCUUGAAUAUUUUAAACAUAAAUGAAGGCUUUGGUACAGGGAGCUAUAAAAUUUUAAUUUCAUCUAGGGUAAAUAUAGAUUUCAAUUUUGAUUUUGAGGGCUGACAUACAAUUUUGAUUUCCAGGCUUUAUUUUUUGAGACAGAGUCUUGUUCUGUUGUCCAGGCUGAAAUGCAAUGGCGUGAUCAUAGCUCACUGCAGCCUCGACCUCCUGGACUCAGGCAAUCCUCCCACGUCUGGAGUAGCUGCAACUGCAGCUGUAGUGGUAAACUCCCUGCCACUGCUUCCUGCUUCCAGCCCCAGAGAUCAGCUAUUUAAGUCCACAGAAAUGUUUAUUUUUUACUUUGGAGUCUGACUGUGCCUUUUUUGUUUUCUCUUAUGAUUUAGCUGUCAUUGCUGUGGUGUUUGGAGCAGAGAGUGUUCAAUGUGAGCUUAUUGUGUCAACUGGUUAACUCAUAUGAUUAAAAAUUUUUGCCUUACUAAUGUCACAAGAUAGAUGAUCUGGUGGGAAACAAUUAGAAAAUAAAAAUAAAAGAAACAAUUAGAAAGUAAAAACUUCUUUUAUUGGUAAGCAAUUAGUAUUGCUUACAUUGAGAAAAUAAACAUUUGUUGUGUUUGCAAAUCUUAGUCCAGAUGGACCUUCUUUCAGAAUUUGUUCUACUCUCACUACCAGUAUGAUCAUCAGUCGGGAGAAAGUAUCACUGGUCUUGGCAGCUGGUGGCAGGAUGACUUUGCCCUGAUCAUUUCAAGUUUUGGUAUGAAAUGGAGAUUGUGCCAUCCUUAUCUACCUCAUUGGCGAGAACAUGUGUUAAAGCUCUUUGAAAUACAUUGGGAUGCUAUAGUAUGGUGAGUGCUAUUACUAAUGCUCCUUGUUUAUACUCAUUGGAGAGGACAGCAUUGUGUGGCCCAGGGAAAUAGUUUUGGAAGCAGGUGGAUCUGUGUUUUGAUUCUGGGUUUCCCUUAUUUUUUGUGUGAUCUUAGCAGGCAAGUCAGUUAACCUGACUCAUCGUGAAAUGAUAUUAUACUGUGUGCUUUUUUUUUCUGUUUACCUGGGAUAGGACGUUGGCUUCCUCUUUGUUUCCUAUCACCCAAACACUUCAUUAGUGCCAAAUUCCAUCUCGGAGUUAAAUGAGGGGACCUAAAAUGCCCAGGGCACUUUGCCCAUUAUCAAUCUUAAAUGUGGUUUCUUUUUCCAGGGCUUUAUCUAUGUGAAGCUCUUCUCAUAUUUGCUUUGCCUUUCAUUAUUUCUUUUUAUUUCUUGGGUAUAGGGCCCUAGAACUUGAAAGUGUUUCUGAGGGACAUGUCCAAGGGCCCAAGGGGACAGAGGAAUAGAUCAAGCUCAGCUAUCUCCUGUCCUAGCUCUGCUGCCUUCUCCGCCUACCAUCUCCAACCAUCCCAAGGGCAGGUGUUUGUGGUGAGCACACCUAUGGUGCUGGCACUUUGUCAUCUCUUCUUACUAUCAUAUUUACAUGUACUGGACCAGGAAGCAAUGUAUUUAGACUACGGAACCUCUGUGAGGGGAUAGAGAAUUCAGAUGAGGUAUGGUAGGUAGGAAUGUCAUUCCUGCCCUGCUGAGAGGUGACUGUGCUUGACAUAUAUGAAUCUGGACUUGGCCACAAGGGACUGGAAGAGGGAACUCUGAGACCUUGGCUGGUUUUAGCUUCCUCAUUGCUGAAAAGGGGUGUUGCUGUUGAUGGUGGCUUGAAGUCCAUGGCUGAGGGAAUGGCACUUUUGGUUGCUCUGGCUUCCCCUGUUCCAGGGAAGGCCCUGGUCCUCAUGCAGCGGUGGGGAUUGGUGGCUCUUUGUUGGGUCUCAGGGCAGGAUAUCUCAGGAUGAUAUUGCAAUCCCUUCCCUGACUCAUUUCUUCUUUAAAAUGGCCUCUUGAGAGCCUUCUUUGGCCAUCUGCUAGGAAUCUGACCAAUACCAAUUACUUUCUGAAUUUUUCUUGCUCUAAAGUCAAGAAACUAAGAUGGAGUGACCAGUAUCAAUAUACUUUCCUUUUCUGGUUUCUGGGUGAAGAAAGAUUAGCAUUGCUGGAAGGUGAGAUGGUUAUAUUAAAUUCAUUGCUUCUAUGCUAAAUCUUGACAAAUAUGAAAAGCAAAGGGAAAAAGGGGAGGGGAUCCUAACUCAAGCCUGGAAGCUUUUGAAUGGCUGGAAAAUCAUUGCAUUAAGACACAAUAAACAUCAAUCUGCAGGUAUGUUAUAAUUUUAUUUUUUUAAGAUAACAUUGACUGGCUGUAACUGCUUUUGUAUCGAAGCAGGGAAGCCGUACCCGAACUUGAAAAUCUUUCAUCUGUUAUCCCUAAUACAUACUCACAAGCACAUCGCAGUCUUGAGGAAGUACAAUUAAAAAGGGGGUAAUCCUUUUUUCAAGUCCUCAGGUUUAAUUUUCCUGAUUAUGGUAGAUUAUGAGUCAUUCUGGGUCUUGGUCUCCAAGAGAGACAGCGCCUUCCCUUCAGUCCCUUUCAACAGUUGUUUAUGGCAGUUUCAGCCUCUUUCUGCCGCUCGGAGGCUCUUUAUUUUUAAAGCAAGGCAGACAAGGCCUAAAAUUAUUCCAUUAAAGAGGGGCAAUUUUUGUAAUGGGACUUAGAGUGCUUUGCAGAAGUGCAGGCAAGUUUCUUCAAUAUCCUGAGCAUUAUUCGCUCAUUUAGUUAAAUGAUGUUUCUAAUUCCCUGGUAAUUACAUGUAAUGAGGCACUUUUUCUCUUCUUGAUGAGACUUUAGCUUAAUAUGAGAUGGCGUAUUUUUUUCUUUUUUUCUUUUUCCAUGGGGAUAAUUACCCCUUCCCAGGAAAAGCAGGGUUUGUUGUGCAGAAUAUAGCAAAUUAUUUUAUUUCCUGCCAUCUUGACUGCCAGUAAAUUAUAAAAUUAAGUUUCAGUGGCGCAUUAGCACCAUUUUGGAAAAGGCUCAAGACUCCAUUUUUUCUUUUUCUUUUUCUCUUUCUUUCUUCUUUUUUUUUUUUUUUCAAUUCAUGUACUGCUUUCCUCUGGGACUGUAGAGGCUAUUAUUCAUAGAACAGAUUUUUUUUUCUGCCAAUUCCUAGUAUUCAGAUGUAUUGAAGCAGCAACAUAGGUUUAAUUUUUCUGGAUGGUAUCCAGCGUAGAAUGUUCUUAUAAGCGUCUUUGUGUUCAGGUAAUUAUCAUCAUAAAGUUAAGUAAUAUGUCCCCUCUUUUCUCUGGUCUCCUCUCACUCCUCCUUUGGAUGUCAAAUUACCUAUUUUUGUGCAAUGCUUUAAUUAGGCGCAAAGCAACUAAAUUUGAAUCACAUGAAGGUGGUGACACCAACUAUUAAAAGGCAAGAAACUCAGUUAAUAUAGUCACUCUACUUAGCUCUUUCUGUUGUUAAAAAGCAAAUUCGAGGAAAGAAAAAUAUGGGGAGAGCAUCAUUUAAUUAAGGACAAUGUCAUGCUGAACUUUGGUUUUCUGGAUUUAAUUAUUUUUACCAAUUUUAAGAAUUAUAUGUUUGUGUGUGUGUUUGUGCAAAUGCACACUUCUGCCAUUUUUUAUUUUUGUUUGUGCAGAAGAAACAUUUCUUUGGAAGAAGCAGCCAAAUGAGAUGAAAAGAGGAAAAGAGAGCUUUGGCCGGGGAGCCAGGGGGCUGGAGUUGUAGGGUAGACUCCAUUUACUCCCACCUGGCUGUGUGCUUCGGGCAAGACAAUCUUUUUGAGCUUCAGUUCCCUCCUGUGUAAAAUGUAUGAGUCGCAGCAGAGGAUCUCCAGUCUUUAGAAACUUGAAAGAUCUUCCUAUCAGUUAGCAAAAGAACCAUGUCGUUGGGGUUAUAGCAAAGUAGCCCAGAUUUAAAGUUUGAGGUUGGAUUGUUGUUGUCAUUUUUUGCCCCCCACCACCUGCUCUAUCAUCCCUUGUAAAGAUGCUGGUUCCCAGGGAUCCAGGUGCCCCCAUCUCCUGUCUUGCUGAUGGUCGUAUGGUUCCUGUUUGGGUUCUACUAAACUUCUAGGCCUGGAAAGUAGGGAGAUGCCACCAGUGCCCUGUCCACGCAGGAUCAGUGUUUCAGGUGCGAGUGAACCAGGGUCAUUCGCUGCAGAGGGAGAUGCCACCCAGUGCCCUGUCCACCCAGGAUCAGUUUCAGGUGUGAGUGAACCGGGAUGCCCUGUCCAUACAGGGUCAGUGUUUCAGGUGUGAAUGAACUGGGGUCCUUCACUGCAGCCCUCAGUUUCCCUUGAGUCAUGGGUAGCCUAAUAUUUUCCUUUUCUUGAGGGCAGCCGGAGAAUUUUUUUGUUUGUUUGCAUAUUUGAAAUCAACAGCAGUGUUCUGAAAAUAAUACCGUCCUUUUCAGAUAAAUGUCAAAAGACUGAUGUGAGCUGAUUUCUUCAUGUUUGGGGAAUGGGGAAUGUUUACCAAAAUGAUAAAUCUUUCUCACUUGUAUAAUUAGCCUGCAAUAAAAACCUCCCAUCCGGAGUUUUUAUUUUAAGAAACUGCUGUUUGGAAUAAUUCUGUUAUAGGAUAGUUAUGUUGGUCACUUCACUGUUUCACUUGGGAUCACCGAGGAGGCUCAUGCCGGCUUCCUGAUGGGUCCUCCAUAGGCAUAGCUCCAGGCACGUGCCUUCUCAGCUCAGCACCCUUCAGGAGCUCCAUGAUGACCACAUCACAGUGUAAACUCUGAAUCUCAGCGUGGACCAGAGGUGGGCCCAGAGUCAGAUGGAUUCGGGUCUGAGUCUUAGAUCUGCCACUCACAGAGUCUGUGAUCUUGGGCAAGUUGCUUACCAUUUCUGAGCCUGUUUUCUCAUCUUAAAAAUGAGCAUCGUAAUAAUACCUCGUCAGGUAAAAUAAGAUACAUGUAAGGCACAGAGCUUGGGACUUAACUGCUGAGUAAUGUGAACUGCUGGUAUUAUUGUUGUUAUGAUUACUACCUCACCUUUUACUGCUUGCCUAGAUGUAUGUGUGCCACAUCCCAACCACUGGUUCCUAACUCACCCCAGGCUCUCCUGUCCUUGUGCCUCUGUUUAUACAGGUUUCUCUGCCCAGCAUAUUUUCCCUUUCUUACUUCCCCUGCCAUUCAUUUAUUCAUCUCCAUUCAUUUAUUCAUCUCCAUUCAUUUAUUCAUCAAAUACUUAUGGGGAGCAUCCAUGAUGUGCCAGUCCUAUUGGCCUGUUGGGCUCAUCUCAGACACAGCUUUGGUGACUGUCCUAGUGGGAAGGGCCCUCUGCAUCCCCCACAGGCCUGCAGGCCCAUGCUUUGCUGUGGCCACAUAUAACGCACAGGGCCCUCUCUCAGUCACUCCUGUUCUCCUCUUUUCCACGUUGGUCCUAGUACAUCAUUUCCCAUGGAGGAGCUAUGUGAACAGAGACUGAAUUGAGGGAAAUCACUUUUGGAAUCCCAGCCCUCUCCUCAGGCGCCAGUGGAGCAUGAGCUGUGCUGUGGAUGAAGUCCGUUGGCACAGUGAGUCCCUGGGAUGGAACCUGCACUCGCUGCUUGACCCAUGGCUGGGUGAGUGGUGAAGCGGUCAGCACAAGCUUCUAGCCCAGGCUUCCCUCUUAGCAGCAUGUGGCCUUGGGCAUGUCACAGAGUCUCCCUUCCCUCUCCCCCAUUUUCUCUUCUGUCAACCGAGCAUAACUGACGCUACAAUCUCACUGACAGAUGGUGAGCGAGGAUGGAGUGAGCGGGCAUGUGCGGCUCUUAGCUCCAUGCAUGGCUCACCGACGUUGGCCGCUCUUGUUAUCAUUACAGUGAUGAUUAUUAGCCUUUCUACAUGACAGAUUCUCAAACCUGGCUGCUACCCAUGAGAAUCAUGUGGACAGCCCUUAAACAAAGAUUCCUGGGCUCCCCCUUGAACUUCUGCACCAGAACUGCCAAGAUGGAGUCCGGGAAUGUGUUAGCUACGUGCUUUUAAGACGACUCUGGUGCCCAGCCUGGGAACCCACAAGGGGCAUACUCCUGGCAUGGGCAAUGUCUGUGUUUAGUGGGGCCAAAUACUGCCCCAUUGAAUCAAGAAGUGCACUCUAUACUGGGCUGAAUAGUGUCCCCUCCCAAAAUUCCUGUCCACCUGGAAUCCAUGAAUGUAACCUUAUUUGGAAAUAGGGUUUUUGCAGAUAUAAUCAAGUUAAGAUGAGGUCAUGCUGGAAUAAGAUGGGCCAUAAAUUCAAUGUAACUGGGUGUCCUUAUAAGAAGAGGGGAACUUUGUACACAGAAACAGACAUAGAUGGAAGUUGGUCAUUUGCCUGUGGAGGCAGAGAUUGGAGUGAUGCUGCCACAAGCCAAGAAGCGGCUACAGAAGCUGAAAUAGGCAAGGACGGAUUCUUCUCUAGAGGCUCUGGAAGGGGCAGACUUCUGACUUCCAGAACUGCGAGAGAAUACAUUCCUAUUGUUUGAACCCCUCAAGUUGCGGAUGAUUUGUUACGGCAGCCCUAGGAAAUGUGACAGGCUCCAAGUCACAUUUUGAGAAUCCUACACUGAGGCAGAAACUCUGCUGAUGAGGCCCACUUUGUGAAUAGUUGACAUGCUUCCAGCUUUAUAAACAUCAAUUCAAAUCUUAGAAGAGAAUUUCCCCCUCUGGGCAAAAUGGGCGUUGACGUAUUUUUUUAAAAUGGGAGUUAAAUGCUGAGGGUAUAAGGCACCUCUGGCCCAUAUGGGACUGGCUGAGUCCCAGGUCUUCUGUCUUCCCGGCCAGGCCUGAGCAUGUGCAGGGAGGAGGCCGACGACUGGCUGGGCAGAUGCAAACCUCCAUUUGUGUAUUGCUACCUUUCCAGAGCCUCGGGGAUGCUCGGUGGACACCUCACAGGAGGUGAGAUUGACAGAGCCGGUUCUAGUCUUAGCUGUCUUCUUCCUUCCUGAAGGUUCCUGGACAAGUCACCUGAUCUUGUGGAACCCAAGUUUCUCCACCUCUAAAUGGAACACACUAAAUUGUUAUGAGUGAGCAUCAGAGGAAAUCAAGAGUGUGUGAUUUAGCUCUGCAUGCAACGGGCUCUGUAGAUAAUUUUCAUUGCAGUUAUUUUGACUUCACUUUGGUGAGUCGACUACCCCAGGUUUUGAAAUGAACACAGGGAGGCAGAAUACGUGUUGUAAUCCCAGGCUACAGUUCUGGAGCCUUUAUUGAAGGAGAAGACAUUUUUUAUUUGUAAGAAUGAAAAACGGAAGGCGGGGAGCCUAUGUGGCAUGGAAUUCAAGAAAUGGAGCAACUGGCCACUGGCGAUGGGAAGGCCCAUGGCAGAUUCUGCAAAUCUCUCUGGAGUUUCUGCUUGAGUUCCUGUUCGCCGCUGUGAGCCCCUCACUCUUUCGUUGCUGAGACACCUUCACCAUGGCUCAGGAGGCCACAUGCUAUUCCUCAGGUGGCGGAGGGCAGAGACCGAGGGAGUCGGUAAAAAGGAGAGGGCUGGAAAAUUCCUCUUAGCAUAAGAAUAAACAGUGAUUUGAAUAUUCAGUUGUGAGGGUUAUAAAUAACUGUGAGUUUUCAUUGACGUGUAAGCGGUGAUACAUUUUGUACAAUAAUUAGUUAUUUGAUUACUUUUGUUUUAGCCUGAAGUAGAGGACAAUUGACAAAUGUGAAUACCUCUGAGACUGAUGGGGCGCAGUAAACUAACUUUAUUUAUUACAAAAUGCAAUUUUAUUAAUAUGAAUUGACAGUAAUUAAUUUGCUGGUGUUGAUGUUGUUAAUAAUUGCAUGUAAUUUAUGAAAUAUUCAUGCUAGAGCAGAAUAAAAUAAUGCACGGGUC